rnacentral:rRNA from 1 species
UACAGAGGUCCCAAGCGUUGUUCGGAUUCACUGGGCGGAAAGGGUGCGUAGGCGGUCGGGUAAGUCUGAUGUGAAAUCUCCAAGCUCAACUUGGAAAUGGCAUCGGAUACUAUUCGGCUCGAGGAAUGGAGGGGAGACUGGAAUACUUGGUGUAGCAGUGAAAUGCGUAGAUAUCAAGUGGAACACCAGUGGCGAAGGCGAGUCUCUGGACAUUUCCUGACGCUGAGGCACGAAAGCCAGGGGAGCAAACGGG